UUGAUAAUUUUUGACCUUACACUGUGAAUUGUAUUUCAUGUUUUGUGACAUUCCAACAUCUCAAAUAGACUUUUUUUAAUAGGAUCUGGAACACCGUCAGCUGCCUCUAAUCAGUCCCCAAUGCCUCCAGGAUCCACUCCCCCUCCUCACCAGCCAAUUGGUCUUGCCCAAGCACAGACAAACAACAGCAACAACAAGACAGAUGCUUUCACACAGCAGCUUCAUAGGCUGGUGGAUAACUGGGCAGAAGGGGUGAGGGCUCCUUCACGCUCACCCUCCCUCAGUCUAAGACCACAGCAACUGACCAGAUCCAGGAUCUGGAGCGCUAUAGAGGUUCCAAUUUCAAUAGAAAGAUUGAAUGCUUCUCAGCUGUCUCUAUCAUGGCCACAGAUAGAUUUCCAUGCCUCUGUGAUGCCGACUGACACUUCACAAGUACUCCAGCGCAGUUUUAUGGUGGCUGGUAACCCUUACGGAAAGAUGUUGGGCGCUCCACACUUAGACAUGGACCACUGGCCAGCAAUGACUGCCAUUCAUAACCAAGAAGUCUUUGCUUUCACUGCUGUGCACUCCCCCUCUUGGACAGUACCUUCUUCCCCCAGCGAGGUUCCUAAUUCUAGAAAUAGGACCAUGUAGCUUCACAAUCACUGUACUUAUACUUUUUACUCUGUUGCCAAAAAUACUUCAGAGUUUCUUUAGAGUGCUAGUUAGGCCUAGCAUUGUGCAAUUCUGUUGCAGUUGUUAGCAUGUAGUUGCUUACAAUGUAGUAAUCCCUCAUGAACAUAUAAAUACUCAGGCCAACAAUGUAGGCAUAUCAUCUGUAGUGUACAUUCAGUAUUAUUGUACAUAUUCAUAAAGCCUAUGUAGCAUAACUGAAUUUUAGCAUAGGCAUAUGUACAGAAUGUAUAUUUUUCAUCAAAAUAUAUUUAGCUUGCUAGUGAGAGAAUCUUCCUUCACACCUUGAGCUGUACACAUAUGUAAAUGCUAUAAGGUACAGUAAGAUGCUCUUAAAUUUGUGUAGAUGUGUAUAGAUACCGUUUAUACUUCUGUAANNNNNNNNNNNNNNNNNNNNNNNNNNNNNNNNNNNNNNNNNNNNNNNNNNNNNNNNNNNNNNNNNNNNNNNNNNNNNNNNNNNNNNNNNNNNNNNNNNGAACGCUAAUUUCACAAUGCACUAGUCAAAAACACACUACCGCAUGCUAGAAAAGUAACAACCAAGACCUGCACUGAGAAAAGAGAGAACUUUAACAGACUGUACAUUUCAGGUGAACAAGCCUGCUAGAGUGCCUUGAACUGCAACUGAGGACUGUGCUAUGUACAUUACCAGCCAGUGUACCAAGGGUAAUGGUGAUUCUAUUAAUUUAGUGUUACCAAGCAUAAUUCUAACUAAAUUCAUGUUUUCCCCACCUGCGGUUUAUGAUGUCCUUUAUGGACAUUUAUAAAAAUGCAUUUUACCACUACCUAUUUGUGGUAUAAAUUAGUUACGAGUGUAAUUUUGUUUUGAAUGUAUGUGCAUUAAUAUUAUUUUCUACAUCAUCUGAUACAGUAAAAAAAAUCACAUUGACCUAGAGCAAAAAGGAAAGCAAGAUUUGUUUUCAAAACUGUAAUAACUAUAAAAGUUGUUUUUCUGAAUCUAAAAAAACAAAUUUUACAAUGAAUGAGCUGAAUGAUCUCUACUGCUGCAGUCAUGUUUGCAGUUACAGCACAACAGUCUCAUUGCACAAUGUCAUCAUUUAGAUCACACUGCUACUGUUUUUAAUUAAUAAUCCUAAUACUGGAGUUUCCUGGUGGAGCAACAGUGAUUUCAUAGCGUGUUGACAGACUGGUGCUUUGCAACAUACAGUAUCAAAUGCCAUGUCCACCUAACUAUUAACACCUAAAUUUGAGUUUCAAAAUAUAGUAAUUACUAGUACACAAACAUCUGUAGAUGUUCUCUUAAGUUAUAGUUCUGGCGAGGUAUAUGUUAUUAUAACAAAACAAAAAAAAGUGGAAUGUAACAGGAUGAAGUAGACAAAAUCUGCUCAUGCUAGCUUUAAUAAACUUUUUUUCUGUAUGUUUUCAUUUUGCAGUACACAUAAGUGACAUUAGAUCUAACCUUGCGCUAAGCAGAGGUAUAAACAAGCCAUUAUUUUAUUGUCAUUGUAAAUGGUUCUGUAAUGCAUGAGAGUCUUUAUGACUCUUAUGAUACAGCAAAUCUUAUUUCAAUUUAUUAUCUAUUAUUUUUGUAUUUCACCAAUGUAGCAGUUAACUAAUGAUUAAUCAAAUAUAUUGAAAUAAAAUUAAAUGGGCUAUUGAUAUUUGGGUCAUGAAACAUAAUGGAUUUUUUUUCUGGUGAAACUGCAGUAAGUAAAUAAGACUGCACUAUGACAGUGCUUGCAUUAUGACAUUACUAAGCUUGUUUACUUUCUGUAUGGCUAUGUAGACUGAAAUAUGAGGCAGUCCAUCUCAAAUCUGAGCCAUUUUACUUGAUGUUUGUCUUCAGAAAAAGUUCACUACACUAUGUUACAAUCUUCGAAUGAAAUGCAUUUUGUUACACAUUUUCAGAAAUGUCUACCUUGUACAAACAAACAAA
rnacentral:lncRNA from 1 species